rnacentral:rRNA from 1 species
CGUGCUUGGGCGAGAGUAGUACUAGGAUGGGUGACCUCCUAGGAAGUCCUCGUGUUGCAUUCC